AUGACUCAGCCACCAGCUAUCGAACAGCGCAACUCCGAGCAUCUGCGCCUCAAACACCCCUCAAACGCCCGGGCGGACGACCCGAUUAUUGAACGUGUCAAGAUGUUAGAAGAAUCGCCGAGACUGAGGUGGGCGGCGGUGCUGGGCCCGACGGUGGAUGCACUGGUCACCUUGGUGGACGAGGCGGUGGAGCAGUGGCGGCCGUGGUCUUGCCCAACUCCCGCAGCGGAGUGGCUGGCCUUGGUGGGCCGAGGUUGCGGCCGAGGAUGCGAACAGGACGAGGAGGAGCCGUCCGUGAGCCGUGCAGCCGCCACCUAUCGAGGUGUCGCCACGGAGGAGCAGGUGGGCUGUGGCGAAGCUCGCCUCCGCAACGCAGGUAAGCAGGGCGGGCGCAAAAUGGAAGCCGCGGGGCAGGUGGACGGCCGCGCAGGUGGGAAUUUGUCGCCGACUGAUCCCUACGGCGGCUGGGGCAUGUGGUGCCAGCCGGCGACGGGGGGAGACGGAGGCUGGGGCGCGCGAGGAAAAGAUGUUCAAUACAAAAGGCAAGAGGAAGACAAUACCCAGAUUCUCAGUUAUCACCGAGUUAAUAAAACCAUUGUGAUGAAAGAUGGAGAUGUCUAUGAUUGCAUUGAUGUGAAUGCGCAACCGUCUUUCAGGCACCCACUAUUGAAAGACCACAAAGUCCAGAUGCAACCAAAUUCUUUCCCUGUUUGGAUGGAUAUCCAAACAUUGCCUUCAGAUGAACCAUCUACCAUUGAGUGCCCAAUGGGAACAAUCCCAAUACUGCAUACUAAUGGAAGUGACACCAUAGCAGCACAUAGUCACGAUGGGCAAUUGGAGUCAGCGGGACUCAUAUACCAGGGUGAUGUAUAUGGGGUGCGUGGUGUAUUAAAUGUUUGGGAUCCAAAGGACCCUGUGUCUAAGAACUGGUGGUUGACUUAUGAGCAUGUAGCAAUUGGAUAUUGGCCAAGUGCAUUAUUCGAAUUCCUUAGGAACAAAGGUGACGCAGCAUUCUGGGGUGGGAUUGUUGAGGGGCCGACUGCCUCGUCAAACUCUCCGCAAAUGGGCAGUGGACAUUUUGCUUCGGAGGGAUACGGAGGAUUAGCUUUCGUAAAAAAAUAUCCAGCUUGCGAAUAA
rnacentral:rRNA from 1 species